GACGAACGCUGGCGGCGUGCUUAACACAUGCAAGUCGAACGGAAAGGCCCUGCUUUUGUGGGGUGCUCGAGUGGCGAACGGGUGAGUAACACGUGAGUAACCUGCCCUUGACUUUGGGAUAACUUCAGGAAACUGGGGCUAAUACCGGAUAGGAGCUCCUGCUGCAUGGUGGGGGUUGGAAAGUUUCGGCGGUUGGGGAUGGACUCGCGGCUUAUCAGCUUGUUGGUGGGGUAGUGGCUUACCAAGGCUUUGACGGGUAGCCGGCCUGGGAGGGUGACCGGCCACAUUGGGACUGAGAUACGGCCCAGACUCCUACGGGAGGCAGCAGUGGGGAAUAUUACACGAUGGGCGGAAGCCUGACGCAGCAGCGCCGCGUGCGGGAUGACGGCCUUCGGGUUGUAAACCGCUUUCGCCUGUGACGAAGCGUGAGUGACGGUAAUGGGUAAAGAAGCACCGGCUAACUACGUG
rnacentral:rRNA from 1 species